rnacentral:rRNA from 1 species
UACGUAGGGGGCGAGCGUUACCCGGAUUUACUGGGCGUAAAGCGUGCGCAGGCGGCCCGUUAAGACAGGUGUGAAAUCCCUGGGCUCAACCUAGGAAUUGCGCUUGUGACUGGCGGGCUCGAGUACGGUAGAGGGGGGUGGAAUUCCUGGUGUAGCAGUGAAAUGCGUAGAGAUCAGGAGGAACACCGAUGGCGAAGGCAGCCCCCUGGGCCUGUACUGACGCUCAUGCACGAAAGCGUGGGGAGCAAACAGG